AGGACUGCUACAGCCUCAGCCGUGACUACUUGAACGAUCCUUGCAGACACCUCCUCUGUAAUACACAGUAACAAAAGAAAAGAAAGUGAUGAGACGUCCAAAACAGGCAGCAAAGGGGAAAAAAAAACAGCAGAAGGAAUAAUGAGAAAAUAACCUUAAACCUCCCUAACAGUCAUGUGAGAAUGCCCAGUGGAAAUACAUAAAUUCUUCUAUUCUUCUAAAGCCAUUUAUCCUGGCUGCAGAGGUCCUGGGCUAUGACCUGCUCUAGAUUUCUGCUAGCGUCCCAAUUUAGGACCAUCUUCUGGACAGCACUCCAAGAGGCCUGAUAACCCCUGUCUUCUCCUGAGAACUAUUAGCAACAUGAAAAAAUCUUUUUUCAGCCCCAGAUGCCUAACCAUUCAAAGGAAACCACGGACGAGAUCCCCAUUUUGUGUACUCAUCUAUCGGCGCCUCCAGGCCCAGACGCUUCGCAGUGAGGCCCUGGUGCUUGUCUGCAGAUCCAGCCUUGAAUGCUAAAUAACUGUGCUCUGCACACUCCUCUCUCUGCGCAGCUCAGGGAAAUGGCAGCUAGAGCAAUGAGUGGUUGCCGUGGCAACAAGGAAAAUCUGCAACCUCUUGUAUUGUUAGGCCAGCGUGUUUACUUGCCUUGUGGGGUGGUGCAGAUGGCUUUAGUCGUCUCACGAGAGACAUGGUUCUGUACUUUUUUUGGCCCUGCGUACAUUAAUAAAAUAUCAUAUACAAUAUGCCAUAUUUUAGAUGGGAUGGUGACUCCUGCCAGUAAAUCUCAAAUCUAGGAAUGGAGGCAGGAAAAAUGAGAGAGGUAAGAAAAAGGCAGGUUCACAUUUCCUAAGAUGAAAAAGGGAAAGAGAAGCUUAAAGGUAUAUUCAACUUUUUGCAUGUGAAUGAUGACAAACUUUUCCUCCAUUAUGUAUUUUUAAGCCUUCAGCUUCUAAUUCCAGCAACAAUAAACUUGCGUAUCUCAGUA